UGCUGCUAUUGGGAGGAUAGAUCAAGGGCAACUUGAAUCUAUGCUUCUGGGUUGCAGUCCUCAAAUCUGGCCCAAGUAAACUAUCAACUCAGCAUGAAUUUUCCUUUAGGUCGAUAUAGCAGGAUUCAGAGUGAAUCCUCCACAGCAACCACCCAUUGUUUUCCUCUGAAGGCAGUGCCUGGUACUAGCAAAAACCCAUUGCGUUCUCCAUCUUCGGACGUCUCAUCGUGGUUGCAGGGGGAGAAAUCAAGACCCUAACAGAGGCCUGACCUGGUUACUCAGCAAUGCUGUGGCAGAAACACACGCACGAGUUCCCGGCUUCUGAUUCACAGGCCAAGAUGUUGCCUUAGCAUUCCCCAUGUUGAUUCAGAGAGUGGUAAUGAAAGUGGGCAAAACAGUGAUCCAAGCACAGGCCCCAGCUGAUGAAGUGGACUGAAACGCUGAAUCCUGAACACUGACGAUCACUACAGCAAAGGGAGGAGCUCAGUAAGCUGCAUAUCGUUCUUAAACCUUCCACCCAAGAGUAACACUUCCGCUUCAUUCUGUUGACCACAGUAAAUCAUAUGGUUGUGCCUGACUUCAAAGAGUAUAAGGACAUACAAUCCUACCAUGUACUGGAAGGAAAUCCAGAAGAUUCUUAAAGAGACCUAAUGACUCUCACAGUCCCAGAACUGCUUCCAUCUCCCGCAGAAGCCGCCACGUGAAUGUGAUGUGUAUCUAGACCCUAUUUUAUAUUUUUACUACAAAUACACUGUACUAUAGAUGGUAUUCAUUUGCAUAUUUUAUAAAAUAUUGUUAAUGGGAUCAUCCUUUUAUAAUAUUCUACAAUUUUUAGUCAAUAUUUUAUUUUCAGGAUUUAUCAAUGCUGAAUCAUAGAUCUAAUUCAUUGAUUUAAACUGUUACAUGGAAUUCCACAUUAGGUAAUUUAUUUAUCUCUUCUCCUACAAAUGAACAAACUAUUUCCAAUUUCUUAUUAUUGCUAAUAGUGAGGUAUUAUAAAUGUGUUUGAGAGAUUCCUUUGCAGUCUUUCUCAACUGGGUUUAACAAGACAAAUUCUGGCCAGGCACGGUGGCUCAUGCCUGUAGUCUUAGCACUUUGGGAGGUGGAGAUGGGCGGAUCAUGAGGUUAGGAGUUUGAGACCAGCCUGACCAAUAUGGUGAAACCCCGUCUCUACUAAAAACACAAAAAUUAGCUGAGUGUGGUGGUGGAUGCCUGUAAUCCCAACCGCUCAGGAGGUUGAGGCAGGAGAAUCAGCUUGAGCCUGGGGGGUGGAGGUUGCAGUGAGCUGAGAUGGUGCCAUUGCCCUCCAGCCUGGGUGACAGAGAGAGACUCUGUCUCCUCAAAAAACAAAAAACAAAACAAUACAAGGCAAACUCUAAUGCCGUAAUGCAACCACUGUAUGUGAUAACUUCUCCUAUGCAUCUGGAAUGAUGCUGGUUAUGUACCAUCCUUGGGAGUGUUGAGAAAAUAAUCAUUCAAACAAUUUUCUAUGUACUAUGGUUCAGAAGAAGAAUUUCAGUUGAGAAAAGUUGCUUGGAAUAUGACUAGAAGUGGAUUGCAAGGUCUUAGACUAUGGACAUGUUCAACUUUUCUAGAUAUUGUCAAAUUAUUCUCACAGAUGACCUUGUCAUUUAUACUUCUGCCAGAUGUGCAUGACAGUUCUCAUUUUCUUUUCUUUUUGAGAUGGAGUCUCUGUUGCCCAGGUUGGAGUGCAAUGGCACAGUCUCAGCUCACUGCAACCUCCACCUAAUAGGUUCAAGUGAUUCUCCUGCCUCAGCUUCCAGAGUAGCUGGGAUUACAGGCUCCCACCACCACACCUGGCUAAUUUUUGUAUUUCUAGUAAAGACAGUGUUUCACCAUAUCGGCCAGGCUGGUCUUGAACUCCUGACCUUGCGAUCUGCCCACCUCAGCCUCCCAAUGUGCUGGGAUUACAGGUGUAAGCCACCAUGCCUGGCCUCAUUUUUACACAUCUUUGUCAACAUUUGCUAUUGUCAAACAUUUUACUUUCCGGCCAGUUCCGUGGGUGUGAAAUUGUAUCCUAUUGUUUUUAAACUGCAUGUCCCUGGUUGCUAGUGAGUGGAGCCUUUUUUCCACAUUUGGCCAUUGAGUUUCUUUUUCUGCACAGUACUGUUUAUAUUCUUUGCCCAUUUCUUUGCUGGGCUGUUUAGGUUUUUCCUAUUGAUUUUUAGUAGCUCUUUUUUUUUUUUUUUUGAGACAGAGUUUCACUCUUGUUGCCCAGGCUGGAGUGCAAUCUUGGCUCAGUGCAACCUCUGCCUCCAGGGUUCAAGCGAUUCUCCUGCCUCAGCCUCCCGAGUAGCUGGCAUUAUAGGCACGUGCCACCAUGCCCAGCUAGUUUUUUUUUUUUUUGAGACGGAGUUUCGCUCUUGUUACCCAGGCUGGAGUGCAAUGGUGCAAUCUCGGCCCACCGCAACCUCCGCCUCCUUGCCUCAGCCUCCCAAGUAGCUGGGACUACAGGCAUGUGCCACCAUGCCCAGCUAAUUUUUGUAUUUUUAAUAGAGACGGGGUUUCACCACGUUGACCAGGAUGGUCUUGAUCUCUUGACCUCGUGAUCCACCUGCCUCGGCCUCCCAAAGUGCUGGGACUACAGGCAUGAGCCACCGUGCUUGGCUCUUUAGUAGCUCUUUAUACCUUUUGAAUCUAACACUUUAUCCAUUUUGUCUGUUAUACAUGUGGCCAUCUCCAGGUGAUUCUGGUAUAUCCUUUCCGUACGUAUCAACCACAAUCACCAGCCAUUCUUUCUGUCGUUGUUUAUGAGACAGGAUCUUCUCACCCUGUUGCCCAGGCUGGAGAACAGUGGUGAUCUUGACUCACUGCAACCCCACCGCCCAGGCUCAAGCAAUUCUCCUGCCUCAGCUCCCCAAGUGGCUGGGACUACAGGCACAUGCCAGCACACCUGGCUAAUUUUUGUAUUUUUUGUAGAGACAAGGUUUUGCCAUGUUGCCCAGAUUGGUCUUGAACUUCUGAACUCAGGUGAUCCACUUGCCUCGGCUUCCCAAAGUGCUAGGAAUACAGGCGUGAGCCACUGCGCCUGGGCCACAGCCACCAUUCUAUCUCUAACAUUUUAUGUAUCUGUGUCAUGAUUUUACAUACAUGUAUAUCUAAGCCUAGGACAUUUUAAGCCAGAUAGCGAGAGUUUUACUAAAUAUAUUGAUGUGGCUAGGUGCAUUGGCUCACACUUGUAAUCCCAACACUUUGGGAGGCCAAGGCAGGAGGAUCACUUGAGCCCAGGAUUUUGUCACCAGCCUAGGUGACAUAGCAAGACGCUGUUUCUACAAAAAAUAAAGCACACAGAAAACAAAAAAACUGUUUUAAAUUAAAAAAAAUUUGAAAUGAAAAAUAUAGAGACUCAUUUUAUAUAUUCUUCUAUCCCUAAGAAACCCCCUCUGUGAACGGAGGAUGUAUUCUGUACUUGCCUGAAUUGCAAGGAAUGUUUGAAUGGCUAGAUGUGGACAAGGUCUGUGUUGGGUUAAGCACAGUUAUUGUCAUCCAAAGAUCAGCCAGUCCAAAUACCCUUCUCACAGCGAACUUCUUCGACCUAGCAGGCAAUGGAAGUGUUCAAAAUAAGCUGACCAGCUCCUUAAAUGAAACUGAAUUUGUGGCUACUCUCUAACAGACCAAGGCUGAGCCAAUCGUGCCCUAUGCUCAUGAAUUGGCAGUAGUCUCUUGCAAAGGGACCAUGAGCUGAAAAGACAUUCUAAGUGCAAAAAUAGUGUAGUAAUUACAAGAGUAAGUGGAGAGUCAUCAUCAUUAUUAAAACAUCAUCA